AAGUGUAGAGUAGACUAGUUCUUGCACAUUAUGACUAUGCUAAUGGCAUGCCAUGGAAUGCAACUUUUUCUCUGAGUGAUACAGGCCUAGUUUGGAUUUGAUCCCUCACAUUAUACACGCCAUCAUUUAGCACUAACAUAAUCAUGUCUCUUCAUAAACCAGGACCAUCUUGGCCCUUAGUGUGUAUCGGGUUACACAUUUGUGAACCCGCAAAAGAGGAGUACUACGACCAGCAUGAGUAGGAUCGAUAGGUUAAACAACAGUAGGCCUACCGCUGUACAUCAUACAUGUACAUGUCAUAGGCUGCUGAAGUUAUAAUGCUCGCACUCAAACUGAGUAAGCCAGGCAAACUUCAAGCUAAACUGUUCACAUUCAUUGACACUAAGGCUGAAAGGACUGCUGUAUAAUGUCCUUACACUUGAAAACCUCGUGUAGUUGUACUGCUCCAGGAUCACUCUUCUCCUGCCCAUCAUUCUCUACGUUGGGCUUGAAUCGUUUUGCCCCUGGUGGACAAGAUGGCAUUGAAUCUGCACAGUCGUUUGUGUUUAUCUUUGCAUCAUCGGGGGAGGGGGGGUUCGGAUAACUGGCCUGUUUGCCAACUCGACUUUGGACAACUCGACCGUUGAGACAGCUCGACCGUCCGUGCGUAAAAAGGAGAGACAAGUCGAAUGUUGAGACAUUGUCCACUCAGCCCAGUCGUCUGCUGGGUGUGGAAUACUAUGCGGUGCCCUUGAUUAUAAUGGAAGGGAAUUUCACGUAGUUGACAAGCUCAUCACUUCUCAUAUCUGAGGUAGCCUAGGCCUAGUACAGUACUAGUAGGGCCUAGUCAUACUAACAAAUCUUUGUGCAAAUUGCAAUCAAUCGAUCUUGCACCCGCACGGACCUAGCCACGUAUAUGUGAUUACAGUCGUUUUUCUCGUCCGGAUUUUUCGUAGCAGAUCGCCGUGGUUUGGCUUCAUACGUGUGAUUGCAUAUAACAUGUACAGCUCAAAACAGUUACCUCCGUCGUCUUUGUGUUUGUAACCAAAUUUAAGCGCCGCGCUAUAUAAAUAAUACAAUCUUAGUUUCUUGCAGGUUUUUCCCCGAUGAGAAUGUCUGAGCCCUGUCGCAGGAGGGCGCUCUUCACUUCCACCACGUUGUUAUCGCAUUUCUUACUUGUGCAAAAGCCUGAAGGCUUGACAUGUACUUUUGCCAGUAUAAUUCGAUAACUAUUCAACCCAAGGACCCGGGGAUACAGUGUUUCAGCAAAGAGAUUUGGCAAGGAUGCGUGAGGAAAGUCAAGGAAAGGUCAAAGAGCGGCAUGUUGGAGGACUCAACUAUACUAGGGCCAGUCUAGCGAACUAUGGGUACCUCCGUAUCCUUGGCCCUACUCUUAAACUGGAAACAAGUGGAGGAAGGCUUAAACAUUGGGAAAAAGCUCCCCAGCCAUGAACGUGAUUUGCUCAAGAUCUUUACUGGUGAUGAACACAUUACAACUCCAGGCGCCAGCAGUUGUGGAGAUGUCAGAGAAUGUUAAUUAAAGCACACCACAUUUUUGAAACUACAUGCGCUCAGAGUCAGUUCAACGUACAGGCAGACAUUGAUGCUGGACUCUGCCUGCGCACAUAACGUGCAGCUGUGUAAUGAACAUGCAUCUCAUUCAGGGCACUUGUUGGCAAGUGGAUAGAAGCAGAGACGGUAGUGAGAGUGGAAGGAACAUGUGCUGUCUGUCCUGGAGUGACUCAACCGUGGCAGGAAGAAUAUCCAUUGUGUUUCCUUGUCCAGAAACUGAUGCAGUUGACCUGAGAACAAGGCUGUGCAGGAACCACCCCAGGGGCUGCAGAGUCUGCCGUGCACAGAAUACUGCAUGACUAGGAUCUGUCGACAUCGGUACAGUGAGUACAAGAUGUCCCAUAGGUCUACCUUGAUGGAGCCAAUCCAAUUCACCUCUUCAACGACCGCCCUUCCCUUUUGUGACUACCAGGAUAUUAACCUCUGUGACAUCAAGGAGCUCCAUCCAAGUCAGUUCAAGUCAAGCCCCA